AAUUAAGAAUUGCAAGAAAUAAAACUAAAUUACUAGUCUUGAAUUAAAAUAAAUAAAACAAUAGGGUUUAUCUUCGUCACAUACAAAAACGAAUCUAGCUUAGUGUUCCUUUAAAUCAAUUACCAAAAUAAUAAUAAUAAUGGAAAAUCAUCACCCUGAUCAUGAAAUAAUGUAAAAAAUCUUGAUCUUCAAUUUCAAAGUUAAAUUCUUCAAAAUCUUGAUAUAUUUGGCUUCAAUUCCUUGCUAGAGCAUGACCUUUUAUCUCAAAAUUAAUGAAUUGGCAUCUAAUUCUUGAUGAGUUCGAUGAUAUUAUUGUGCAUUAAGGGGUAAGAAAGAGUUCUCCAUAUUUCUCCCUAGUUUGUACUUAUAAUGGUCGAAUUUAGGUCAAGAAUUCUUCCCAAAGUUGUUAUCAGUAAGAGUUUAGAUAAAAUACAAAAAUAAAAAAGGAAAUUAGCUCUUUAGCAGAAAAUUUGGCCUAGGAGCACAUACGGCGAAAAUGGCCCUUGCUCGCCCGUUCUGAUCACUUUAUCCAUGAGCAACCUUCAAUACUUGAUCAUAAAUUUCUCUCUUGAAAUCCAAUUGAGGUGAUUCAAAGGAUAUUGGAAAGAUAACUCAAAGUUCUACAAUUCAUUUUGAAACAAAAAAUUUCCAACUCGAACGUUUGCUACCCGAAAAAUGGGUCUCAAUCUAAAGCGAAAAAUCUAGUGCCUAACUUUUUCAGCUAGAAAUUGACUUAUGAAAACACUUUAAUUAUAUUUUACUCUUAUGACUUCCAAUUGUAUCCAGUUGAUCAUAAAUGAUCUUUAAUUAUUGUUUUAUGAUUCGAAUUAACUAUUGAAUGUUUGCACUUUGGUUCUGAACUUUGGAUUUUUAUUUUUUAUUUUUUGUUUUUACCCCUUUUCGUUUCUUUCUUCCAAUUCCAACAAUUUGUCUUGAGUCUUACAUAACAAAGAAAAUUAACAUCUAAUUAAAUCACCUCUUGGUAUUGAUUAAAAUCUUUUUCUUUUUUUCUUUUUUGUAGAUUUUAAUAAAAGUUGAUAAAAUGUUUAGUUGAAAAGUUGUAGAUCCCAUAAAAUAUGUGAUUAAAAUUAAUUAUUGACUUUGACUUGAAAUUUAAAUUUGAUUUUAAUCCAAAACAAACAUGGGCUAAGUCAUAUGUCAUCAAGAUUUAUUAUAAUUAAUAUCAUUUAAAGGUCCAAAUAUACAUUUAUCGUAAAGAAUAGUCAGACAUAAAAAUUUAGGUUAUGUUCAUAAGAAUGCAGUUACAAAACGUAUCAGUUUAACAUAUUAUAUUUCUGUCAAAUACAUGUAACAACCUCUUAUAACCGAUAGGUUCUAAUCAAAAUAAGGAUAUUAUUAUCAACAAAAAAGAAAAAGAAAAGGAAUGUGAAUAAUAUAAGUUUAAUAUAUCGAUUACGCUAGCAAUCCAAUCAAUUCAAUAUUAGACAAUGUAUGUGAUAAGUGCACAAUUAUCUAGGUUUUUAAAUAUAGACAUUUUGUAGUACUUUUGAUGAAUUAUAGCUCAAUCUUUUGUUAGUUUUUAUUGUUUUCCUAGGCACAACUUAGUGAUUGGACGUGAAAUGGAAAGAAAUAUGAACUUAAAUAAACAAAAGCGAAUGAUUUUCAAAGUUUGGAAAACAAAUUGUAACUAUUCAAUAGUUGAUUCAGACCAUAAAAAGAUAAUUGAAGAUUGCAAAGGAGCUAUUGGACAAGGUUAGAAGGACAAAAGUAUUCCCAAGAAAGGACUUAAUUUGCACACGGAUGAAAAGCAUGGACCAAAUUGCACUUCGGGUAGAAAUUUUAUGCUGCACUUGCACCGUACAUAGGGAUGUGGGUGCAUUUGAAGCUAUUUCUCCUCUUCCAUUCGUGAACAAGAAGAUUGCAUGUCAAAUUUUGGCACACGAACUAGUACUUUUCUUUUUCAAUUAGAAUUUUUUUGGAACUCAAUUUGAACGUGAUUUUAACCUAAUUCUCUCUCUAAUCAAUUCAUAUCAAAGAAUAAAUUAAGAACAAGAGGUGAAUUCCCCAUAAUUUUUGAGAGAAGAUCAAAUAUAGGAAGAACUUGAAGGCAAAUUAUAUCAAGAACUUGAAGAUUUAGAGCUUGAAAUUGAAGAUCAAGAUUUCUUGUAUAAAAACAUGUUCCAUGUGAUAUCUUUUCAUAUUUCUUCUUUAAAUAUCAUGGAAAUCAUGGCAAUCAUGCUAGGCUAGAUUCUUGCUUGUACUGGAUGAAGAAAAAACCUUUGAUUUAUUAAUUUUAAUUCAAAGACUAGUAGUUUUGUAUAUUUGUGUUUUAUUGAUUGAUAUUGCAUGUCUUGUUGCAUUACUUGAUUUAUUGGCCAUCAAUUAGAUAAUUAAUUGCUUAUUGUAGUUUUGGGAAAUUAACAAUAGGUUUAGAACAUAGCAAUAUAAAAAAAUUAAAAAAUUAAAAAGCAAUAGAUGUUAGGAAUAAUAUGCAUGGGAUGUGCAAUCACAUAAAUAAUCAUACAAUUGAAUGCUUUAACUUUGCAUAUGAAUUCAUAAUAAGAAAAUGAUUGGAUCGUGUUUAGAAUAUGUUUAACUUAUCUCGAAAGAGGUAAUUAGAUAAAAUUGGAUUAUCGAUUAUCAUGAAUAUAUAAAUAUCAUUAAUUACAAAAGUCGAAAAUUGGAAAAAGAACAACAUUAGGUGGAUUCACAAGUCCAAUACAUUUAUCCCAUAAUUCAUAUAAAACAAAGCAUUUGGAUAAUUUGCAAAAUAAUUUGGAAUUAAAAAAAAAUCUUUUCUUUUGUUUACAUACAUUUGAAAUUAACUACAAACUAAUGCAGUUUGCUUUAAGAAUUAUUACCCUGUUGACAAUACUCUAACUUACUAAAAUUAUUACUUUUCAAUGAUCCGGUAUGCUUACGGGAUUUAUCCAAGUAGUAUGAAAUUUGUAAACUAUUUUUCAGCCAUAACUCUAUAGAAAUGAAAGAAUGCAAUAAUUCUCUUCCAAUCGAAUCAAAUACAAAUUAUUUACUAUUUACCGACUAUUCUAUGUUUAUUUGGAUUCUCUUGUCCUUAUGUUUGGCGUAGAGGUUCCAAGUUGUUGCAUGUUCUCCUAUUGUCACUAUAUCCACAACAUCUUUUACAUUUCAAAAUUUUAUUUUAUUUUAUUUAUUUAUUUUUGUUGUUGAUUUCUUCCUCUUUAUGAUAGGCCUUCUAGCACAUCUCUUUUAAUUAGGUGCUAGUAAAAUCCUAUCAAUGAUCUCAACUGGCCUUAACUAUUCAUUUUGAUUCCUGCCGGAAACAUAGUAGAUUGGUAUGUAUUCACAUAGAAAUCUCGUGCAGUAAUAAGAAAAAUAAUCAUAUGCAUCAAACUUUAAAGUUGUUAUCACUGAUAAGGAGUAAGGACAAGGCAGUUGAUCAACUUGGCACAUCCUAUUAUAAGUACAUGUACGUUAAUAUCAGUCAAGUAUGAUGAGUUAUCAGCCCUUCAAAUAAGUUGUGUUAGAAGGGGACACCUGUGAACAUACAAUAAUACUUGAGGUCACAAAAUAAUACACAAUCAGUGAAAAUGUGAAACGUAAAUCUAAGAUCCGAAUGAAUAACAAGUUCAGGUCACAGCAGAAUUUUAAAAUCAAGCAUGCAGCCAUCAUGACCACUGAUAAAACAUCAACAUAUUAAAAUCGGUCGCGCUGUGACUACUGACAAAAUGAGGUCACAAUAUAUUGUUACAAGCACAAUAAGGUCAUAAACUCUGUGAUUUUUCAAAACCAUGCAGGCAGUGGAAAAUGUAAAACCUAGCAUUCAGUAAAUGUGUAACACCCCAAAUUUUCAUAACACAGCAACGUUACCAAAAUUCAUUUUUCAUUAUUUUACAUGCGAAAAGAUCAAAAUUAAAUUUUUUUUUAUAAGUAAUAACUGCGGCAUUCAUAAAUUUAAAUUAAACUUAGCCUUUGUAUCUAGAAAAUAACAAUAAACAUGUCUUAAAAUUAAUAAAUAAUUAUGAAAGAAGAAAAACUUAAUGGAAAAUUUAUUCUUUGUUACUACAAUCCACUUGGCGGCUCGCAUCACUGCCCUCCACAAUUUUAAUCGAUCAGAACUAAUUUGUAAAAAUUUGUAAGAGUGAGUAUUCGAAAACACCCAAUAAGAUACGUAUAGUUUUCAAAUACAUAUAUA
rnacentral:lncRNA from 1 species